rfam:Mesorhizobium alhagi CCNWXJ12-2 contig147, whole genome shotgun sequence.
UGCGCAGCGCGUGCUUGAUGACGACGCUGCCGAAGCCCAGCCCCUUGAGCCUGGCCGUGCGGAUAUAUUGCUGCGUCAUCACCUCGACCAUCGAGGCCCGGGUCAUGCGGGCGAUGUAGCCGAUGCCGUAGAUCGCCAUGGUCAUGACGGGCAGUGUGAAAUUGUAGAAGGUGAUGCCU